rnacentral:ribozyme from 1 species
AAGAUGGAACAAACAACUGUAGUUUGUUGUUGUUCCCUUUGUUUUUCCUUGUUGUUUCCAUUUUCUUUACUCUUG